rnacentral:rRNA from 1 species
AUUGAACGCUGGCGGCAUGCCUUACACAUGCAAGUCGAACGGUAACAGGGAGCUUGCUCCGCUGACGAGUGGCGAACGGGUGAGUAAUGUAUCGGAACGUACCUUUUAGUGGGGGAUAACGUAGCGAAAGUUACGCUAAUACCGCAUAUUCUCUGAUGAGGAAAGCAGGGGACCUUCGGGCCUUGCGCUAAUAGAGCGGCUGAUAUCAGAUUAGCUAGUUGGUGAGGUAAAGGCUCACAAAGGCGACGAUCUGUAGCGGGUCUGAGAGGAUGAUCCGCCACACUGGAACUGAGACACGGUCCAGACUCCUACGGGAGGCAGCAGUGGGGAAUUUUGGACAAUGGGGGCAACCCUGAUCCAGCCAUGCCGCGUGAGUGAAGAAGGCCUUCGGGUUGUAAAGCUCUUUCGGCCGGGAAAAAAUCGCAUGGGUUAAUACCCUGUGUGGAUGAUGGUACCGGAAUAAGAAGCACCGGCUAACUACGUGCCAGCCGCCGCGGUAA